rnacentral:rRNA from 1 species
GUGGGGAAUCUUGCGCAAUGGGCGAAAGCCUGACGCAGCCAUGCCGCGUGGAUGAUGAAGGUCUUAGGAUUGUAAAAUCCUUUCACCGGUGAAGAUAAUGACUGUAGCCGGAGAAGAAGCCCCGGCUAACUUCGUGCCAGCAGCCGCGGUAAUACGAAGGGGGCUAGCGUUGCUCGGAUUUACUGGGCGUAAAGGGCGCGUAGGCGGACAUUUAAGUCAGAGGUGAAAUCCCGGGGCUCAACCUCGGAACUGCCUUUGAUACUGGGUGUCUUGAGUAUGAGAGAGGUGUGUGGAACUCCGAGUGUAGAGGUGAAAUUCGUAGAUAUUCGGAAGAACACCAGUGGCGAAGGCGACACACUGGCCCAAUACUGACGCUGAGGCGCGAAAGCGUGGGGAGCAAACAGGAUUAGAAACCCUAGUAGUCC